CUUCCCGCACCAAGGGGGGCACGUGCCGCCUGCCACCGGGGUCGCAGCCGCCCACCUCCCGCACUGAGGGGGCCACGCGCCGCCGCUGGGAGCGAGGGUCGCGCCGGCUGACCUCCAACGCACAGAGAGAGAGAGAGGGGUGAGGGAGUGGACGGUGGAGUUGGAAGAAGAUAAGUUAGAGUGGCUCCUACAAUUAUUUCUCCAUUUUUUAUUUUCCUUUUAAAAUAUAUUUGUGAGUUAUUAAAUGAUCUCAAAUGGAAAAAUUGUCAACUAUAAAGUUUUAUAUCUUGUUGAGCUCUACAAUUUUGAUAUUAAGUUUUUAUGCAUAUGAGAUGACAUGAGAAAGUUUGCAUUCAAAAAAUACAUCCACUAAACUCAUUCACAUAUACUCACACAUAUACUCAUACAUUCACAUACACUUGUACUAUAUACUUAUAAAUAUUUAGAGCCGUUGAAUGCUACAACUUUCAUAUAAAGCUUGUCUGUAUCCGAAGUACUUUGAAAAUUCAAGAAUUUUAUAUUUCAAAACUAGAGAACUUAUAAUAAUAUUUUGAAGUAUUAAACAAUACCAAAUUGAAAACUUGUCAACUUCAAAGUUUUAAGUCUCGUCGAGCUCUACAGGUUUGAUGUUGAGCUUCUGUAUAGCCGAAAUCAUUUGAAAAUUCAUAGUUUUAGAUUUUGAAACUAGAGAACUUAAACUGGUAUUCUGAAAUAUUAAACAAUCUCAAAUGAAAACUUUUCAACUACAAACUUUUAGGUUUCGUCGAGCUAUACAAUU
rnacentral:lncRNA from 1 species